GCCUACCGCCGUACCAUGAUGGAAAUUCCAGAUCUUGUCUGAUCUUGGAAGCUAAGCUGGAUUGAGCUCAGUUAGUACUUGGCUGGGAGACAGCUUGGGAAUACCAAGUGUCAUAGGCA
rnacentral:rRNA from 1 species